UCUGAGGCUCUCCUGAGAGCCAUCAACACAGAAAUAUCAAGGCCAU
rfam:Ficedula albicollis isolate OC2 chromosome 11, whole genome shotgun sequence.